UACGGAGGUUCCUAGCGUUGUUCGGAAUUACUGGGCGUAAAGGGAGCGCAGGCGGAUUGAUAAGUACUAAAGUGGGAAUCCCGGGCUCAACCUCGGACGGUGCUUUGGAUACUGUCAGCCUUGAGUUCGUGAGGAGGAAGGCGGAAUUCAGGUGUAGCGGUGAAAUGCUUAGAUAUCCUGAAGGAACACCAGUGGCGAAAGCGGCCUUCUGGCACGAAAACUGACGCUGAGGCUCGGAAAGCGAUGG
rnacentral:rRNA from 1 species